rnacentral:rRNA from 1 species
CCUACGGGCGGCAGCAGUGAGGAAUAUUGGUCAAUGGACGAGAGUCUGAACCAGCCAAGUAGCGUGAAGGAUGACUGCCCUCUGGGUUGUAAACUUCUUUUAUAUGGGAAUAAAGUGUUCCUCGUGAGGGACUUUGUAUGUACCAUAUGAAUAAGGAUCGGCUAACUCCGUGCCAGCAGCCGCGGUAAUACGGAGGAUCCGGUCGUUACCCGGAUUUAUUGGGUUUAAAGGGAGCGUAGGUGGAAUGUUAAGUCAGGUGUGAAAGUCUGCGGCUCAACCGGAAAAUUGCAGUUGAAACUGGCAGUCUUGAGUACAGUAGAGGUGAGCGGAAUUCGUGGUGUAGCGGUGAAAUGCUUAGAUAUCACGAAGAACUCCGGUUGCGAAGGCAGCUCACUGGACUGCAACUGACACUGAGGCGCGAAAGUGUGGGUAUCAAACAGGAUUAGAUACCCCAGUAGUC